rnacentral:rRNA from 1 species
GAUGAACGCUGGCGGCGUGCCUAAUACAUGCAAGUCGAGCGAACGGACGAGAAGCUUGCUUCUCUGAUGUUAGCGGCGGACGGGUGAGUAACACGUGGAUAACCUACCUAUAAGACUGGGAUAACUUCGGGAAACCGGAGCUAAUACCGGAUAAUAUUUUGAACCGCAUGGUUCAAAAGUGAAAGACGGUCUUGCUGUCACUUAUAGAUGGAUCCGCGCUGCAUUAGCUAGUUGGUAAGGUAACGGCUUACCAAGGCAACGAUGCAUAGCCGACCUGAGAGGGUGAUCGGCCACACUGGAACUGAGACACGGUCCAGACUCCUACGGGAGGCAGCAGUAGAGAAUCUUCCGCAAUGAGCGAAAGCCUGACGGAGCAACGCCGCGUGAGUGAUGAAGGUCUUCGGAUCGUGAAACUCUGUUAUUAGGGAAGAACAUAUGUGUAAGUAACUGUGCACAUCUUGACGGUACCUAAUCAGAAAGCCACGGCUAACUACGUG